GGAAUAUUGCGCAAUGGGCGAAAGCCUGACGCAGCGACGCCGCGUGAGGGAUGAAGGUCUUCGGAUUGCAAACCUCUUUCAGCAGGGACGAAGCGAAAGUGACGGUACCUGCAGAAGAAGCACCGGCUAACUACGUGCCAGCAGCCGCGGUAAUACGUAGGGUGCAAGCGUUGUCCGGAUUUAUUGGGCGUAAAGAGCUCGUAGGCGGUUAGACACGUCGGAUGUGAAAACUGGGGGCUCAACCCCCAGCCUGCAUUCGAUACGGUCUGACUAGAGUGUGGUAGGGGUAACUGGAAUUCCUGGUGUAGCGGUGAAAUGCGCAGAUAUCAGGAGGAACACCGAUGGCGAAGGCAGGUUACUGGGCCACCACUGACGCUGAGGAGCGAAAGCGUGGGGAGCAAACAGGAUUAGAUACCCUGGUAGUUCACGCCGUAAACGGUGGGCGCUAGAUGUGGGGACCAUUCCAUGGUUUCUGCGUCGCAGCUAACGCAUUAAGCGCCCCGCCUGGGGAGUACGGUCGCAAGACUAAAACUCAAAGGAAUUGACGG
rnacentral:rRNA from 1 species